CUGUCUGAAUAUGGGGGGACCAUCCUCCAAGGCUAAAUACUCCUGACUGACCGAUAGUGAACCAGUACCGUGAGGGAAAGGCGAAAAGAACCCCGGCGAGGGGAGUGAAAAAGAACCUGAAACCGUGUACGUACAAGCAGUGGGAGCCCCACCACCAAAGCAUUCUCUGGUGUUGAAGGCCCUGCAAAGCAGCAUCGCGGUGGCGGAGCGUCGUUUGCGACGCCCAACACACAAAACAAGCGGUGAGUGCUUUGGGGUGGGGUGACUGCGUACCUUUUGUAUAAUGGGUCAGCGACUUAUAUUCUGUAGCAAGGUUAACCGUAUAGGGGAGCCGUAGGGAAACCGAGUCUUAACCGGGCGUUAAGUUGCAGGGUAUAGACCCGAAACCCGGUGAUCUAGCCAUGGGCAGGUUGAAGGUUGGGUAACACUAACUGGAGGACCGAACCGACUAAUGUUGAAAAAUUAGCGGAUGACUUGUGGCUGGGGGUGAAAGGCCAAUCAAACCGGGAGAUAGCUGGUUCUCCCCGAAAGCUAUUUAGGUAGCGCCUCGUGAAUUCAUCUUCGGGGGUAGAGCACUGUUUCGGCUAGGGGGUCAUCCCGACUUACCAACCCGAUGCAAACUGCGAAUACCGGAGAAUGUUAUCACGGGAGACACACGGCGGGUGCUAACGUCCGUCGUGAAGAGGGAAACAACCCAGACCGCCAGCUAAGGUCCCAAAGUCAUGGUUAAGUGGGAAACGAUGUGGGAAGGCCCAGACAGCCAGGAUGUUGGCUUAGAAGCAGCCAUCAUUUAAAGAAAGCGUAAUAGCUCACUGGUCGAGUCGGCCUGCGCGGAAGAUGUAACGGGGCUAAACCAUGCACCGAAGCUGCGGCAGCGACACUGUGUGUUGUUGGGUAGGGGAGCGUUCUGUAAGCCUGCGAAGGUGGCCUGUGAGGGUUGCUGGAGGUAUCAGAAGUGCGAAUGCUGACAUAAGUAACGAUAAAGCGGGUGAAAAGCCCGCUCGCCGGAAGACCAAGGGUUCCUGUCCAACGUUAAUCGGGGCAGGGUGAGUCGACCCCUAAGGCGAGGCCGAAAGGCGUAGUCGAUGGGAAACAGGUUAAUAUUCCUGUACUUGGUGUUACUGCGAAGGGGGGACGGAGAAGGCUAUGUUGGCCGGGCGACGGUUGUCCCGGUUUAAGCGUGUAGGUGUGUGUUCCAGGUAAAUCCGGUUCACUUUAACACUGAGGCGUGAUGACGAGGCACUACGGUGCUGAAGCAACAAAUGCCCUGCUUCCAGGAAAAGCCUCUAAGCAUCAGGUAACAUCAAAUCGUACCCCAAACCGACACAGGUGGUCAGGUAGAGAAUACCAAGGCGCUUGAGAGAACUCGGGUGAAGGAACUAGGCAAAAUGGUGCCGUAACUUCGGGAGAAGGCACGCUGACA
rnacentral:rRNA from 1 species